rnacentral:tRNA from 2 species
GCGGCAGUGGUGAAGUGGUCAACACAGCAGCCCUAUUACAAUGCGAAACGAGGAGUUCCGCUAACAGCAAUGUUCAAGGAAGCCAAGCUGCCAUUCGUAGGUUCGAGUCCUACCUGCCGCUCCA